GAGUUUGAUCCUGGCUCAGGAUGAACGCUGGCGGCGUGCCUAAUACAUGCAAGUCGAACGAACAGAUAAGGAGCUUGCUCCUUUGACGUUAGCGGCGGACGGGUGAGUAACACGUGGGUAACCUACCUAUAAGACUGGAAUAACUCCGGGAAACCGGGGCUAAUGCCGGAUAACAUGUUGAACCGCAUGGUUCUACAGUGAAGGACGGUCUUGCUGUCACUUAUAGAUGGACCCGCGCCGUAUUAGCUAGUUGGUGGGGUAACGGCCUACCAAGGCGACGAUACGUAGCCGACCUGAGAGGGUGAUCGGCCACACUGGAACUGAGACACGGUCCAGACUCCUACGGGAGGCAGCAGUAGGGAAUCUUCCGCAAUGGGCGAAAGCCUGACGGAGCAACGCCGCGUGAGUGAUGAAGGUCUUCGGAUCGUAAAGCUCUGUUGUUAGGGAAGAACAAAUGUGUAAGUAACUGUGCAUAUCUUGACGGUACCUAACCAGAAAGCCACGGCUAACUACGUGCCAGCCGCCGCAGUAAAACC
rnacentral:rRNA from 1 species